CUCUCUGACAGGGCAUCUGAGGUCGGAGGCUGCGGGCUCUACCCCGGGGCCGAUCCAGUUCAGGGAGGUCAGAAAGGCAGCUCGGAACGCGCCCAACCGGGACUGGAAACGUGUGAAACUCUCGGUUCAGCCCGAUUCCGCCUCGUCCAGGCAGCUUGUCUUGGGGGCACCCUAACCUCUCCGAACCUCAGUUUCCCCAUCUUGGGGUCACUGAAGCCGGAAGUUGUAGAAGCACCUAGGAAGCUACGGGGUCCUGCAUCCGGACCAGUUUCCGGCUUUGCGCUCCCCGGUCUACACCCUCGAGGGCAGGCGGAGGCGGUUACCCCGAGAGUUCCGCUGGGUUGGAGCCCAUCAGCAGACGCCUUCCGAUUGAUGGUUGUGACUUGGCAGAAAGAAGAGCUGGACGAUGACUAGAAGGUUCCAGAAGACAUCAUGGGGAGACAUCUCAGGAAGGAAAAGUGAAUUAUCCACAGGGAUUCAGGGGCGGUGCUCCCCAUCGAAGGCUGGCAUCAGGAAAGACUCUGAGGUCAGAUCCAGACACGGGAUUGGAGGUGCUGAUAAACUCUGCUGCGGCACAGACUUUGGGGAGAAGACAGUAGACAUCUUAGCCUACACCUAAGUCUACCAGAAGCCCCACGUCCCAGCCUCGUCACACACCCAUGGAUCCUGGGAAAUUCAGAGCUUAAAGGAAGCCUCCAAUGGGUUAACGUGUGGAAAAUUCCACAGAUACACUUUCUGAUGCAGAUCACUCCUCUCUACUCCGCCCACCACCCCCCCGCCCUUCACAACCAACUGCAGCUCCGCAGACAAGCCAGAGAAAAGAGAAGGGAAAUGUGAAAACAAUUCUGAAUUCAGCUGGUGUGUGUGGAAGUGCAAUAUUCCAAACACAAUUAAAACCCAAUCAGGGUCCGGAAAAGUGCUUAAAUGUCCCUGUCAAACAACAGACCAC
rnacentral:lncRNA from 1 species